ACCUGUGACACCACGCCGAGGUGUGGAGGAGGGGUGCGAGCCCCGAUGCGCCUUUUGGACGGGUGCACCCAACACGUGAAUCAGUUUGAAUACAUAUGGUUGGCUUGAGGUGUUCAAAAAAAAGAACCCACGGCGCCGAAGGCGUCAAGGAACACUGUGCCUAACCCGGGGAAGCGGCUGGCUUGCUAGCUGCCCCUCGUGUUGCAAAGAUAUUUAAUCCACACGACUCUCGGCAACGGAUAUCUCGGCUCUCGCAUCGAUGAAGAACGUAGCGAAAUGCGAUACCUGGUGUGAAUUGCAGAAUCCCGCGAACCAUCGAGUCUUUGAACGCAAGUUGCGCCCGAGGCCACUUGGCCGAGGGCACGCCUGCCUGGGAGUCACGCCAAACACGCUCCCAACACUCAUCGGGUUGUGGGAUGCGGCAUGUGGCCCCCCGUCUCGCAAGAGGCUGUGGGCCAAAGAUGUGGCUGCCGGCGUAUCGUGCCGGACACAGCGCGUGGUGGGCGAACUCGCUUUACUUACCGCAGUGCGUUCGGCCCGUAGCCGACGUGAUGGCCUUGGACCCUAUGAACGGGGCGCAUGACGCUCUGACCGCGACCCCAGGUCAGGCGGGACUACCCGCUGAA
rnacentral:rRNA from 1 species